AUUAUUUUAUGAAGCUAUGUACUGCUCAUAAUUAAAAAAGAAGAACAACGUGAAUUGUUCUUUCUUGGAAGCAAACUUUCAAUGUAAAUUCAACAAUUACUAAGACAAUAAAGUGGGCAGUGACAUAAAAUCCCAAACCAACCAGCAACGUCCUUGUUAAAUACUCAGUAACGACCUUCCUUUGAGCAACAUAAUAGCUACUUUGUCUUAAUAAAGAUCAAGUCAAGUUCAAUUCCGUUGACGUGAUGAUUCCAAUAUCAAUUUCCUCCGAUGCUGGCAAAUUGAAGGUUUCUUCGAAGUAAAGUAAGAUCGAAGAAAAGUAGUUCUUGGCAUAUGAGGCUAAAAGAGCGACGAGGCGAACGGGUUGCAAAUAGUCGCUAACAGCCCCAGAUUGUUUGGCAGGUUAAGUAUACAGCUAGGAUGCUCUGACGUCUGCUGGGAUUGGCAAGUUCCACCUCAUUCUGGAGUUGUGCUGAGUCAUGUAUAGAUAUGUACGAUUAUGGGUAUGUCAGGGCCCUAUCCUGACUCAUAAUGUCCAGUCCACUUCUUAGAGACUUCUGCAGACAGUGUCUUGUGGUAUGUUUGUCGAGAUGUCGACAAAGUGAUAUCAGUUGAGCCAUUUAUGGAUUCUAAAAGAGUAUGUAUUUCAGAUAUUAUAGGUUGGUCUAAAUUACUUAUUGAUUGAAAGUUUUCAUAAUCGUUAUAGGGAUAAUGAUUUC